GAAGACUGGAGCUGAGCCUUCUGAGAGGGAGGCAGGGUUCUUCCCCGUGGACUUGAACCUGGAAGCAUUGAAGCCGGAACAACUAUCUCCAUUCUGUCAUCACCUGUGGGCUGAGAAGAUCUCAGAUCCAGGAGACCAUGAAAGCUGAGCGGAGAAUGGCAGAGAAAUCAGGCCGUGAAAUACUUCAGACAGACACAAUUUCUCCCGGCGACAGGGGAGGAAGCUGAGGCCUUGAGAAGCAUUCCAAGGAGGCCCCAGGCAUGGCACUUACAGGAGGUAUCCCAGACGCCGCCUUCCUCCUCCUCCUCCUCCUCAACUCCAUCCUUCCCAGGAGGAGACAGCCGACUUCAUGGCGUGAUGUUUGGGACCUGGAGGGCAUCCGGCCAACAGAGCUCUCCUGUGAGGCAGUCCUCCUCCCACAGACUGGCGUUUGGGUUUUGGAGAGGGAGACCACAGAG